UCUCGGCAACGGAUAUCUCGGCUCUCGCAUCGAUGAAGAACGUAGCGAAAUGCGAUACUUGGUGUGAAUUGCAGAAUCCCGUGAACCAUCGAGUCUUUGAACGCAAGUUGCGCCCGAGGCCAUCAGGCCGAGGGCACGUCUGCCUGGGCGUCACACGC
rnacentral:rRNA from 1 species